rnacentral:piRNA from 1 species
AGCCAUCUAUACCCUGGGCUGCUUAUGGGA